GUUUAUGUUUACAGCCCUUUUGUCAUGUAUUCACGAAUAUUAAAAGGUAUUAGGAGUCUAGGAACAUUCAGGUAAGAGUUAGACAUUAAAUAGAAGAUGUUAUAUCUUAAAAAAGGUAGGGGAAUUGGGGGCACGCUCAGAACAUGCAUUUCUAAGUAGUGGUGCUGCCGUAAAGCCCAAACUAUAUACAAAAUACAGACUAAGGAACAGCACAAAACACACA